rnacentral:rRNA from 1 species
GGGUGAGUAACACGUGGAUAACCUACCUAUAAGACUGGGAUAACUUCGGGAAACCGGAGCUAAUACCGGAUAAUAUUUUGAACCGCAUGGUUCAAAAGUGAAAGACGGUCUUGCUGUCACUUAUAGAUGGAUCCGCGCUGCAUUAGCUAGUUGGUAAGGUAACGGCUUACCAAGGCAACGAUGCAUAGCCGACCUGAGAGGGUGAUCGGCCACACUGGAACUGAGACACGGUCAAG